ensembl:piRNA 21ur-4025 ncRNA
UUGAAUAUGGAAGCUCAUUUU